GGCGAGAUGGCGGAGUGGUCUAACGCGAUAGACUAGAAAUCUAUUACCUUCGGGUGCGCAGGUUCGAAUCCUGCUCUCGUCG